rnacentral:rRNA from 1 species
UACGUAGGGGGCUAGCGUUAUCCGGAAUUACUGGGCGUAAAGGGUGCGUAGGCGGUUUGUCGCGUCUGCUGUGAAAACUCGGGGCUUAACCCCGGGCCUGCAGCGGGUACGGGCAGACUAGAGUGCGGUAGGGGAGACUGGAAUUCCUGGUGUAGCGGUGAAAUGCGCAGAUAUCAGGAGGAACACCGGUGGCGAAGGCGGGUCUCUGGGCCGUAACUGACGCUGAGGAGCGAAAGCGUGGGGAGCGAACAGG